rnacentral:rRNA from 1 species
CUCUGUUGUAAGGGAAGAACAAGUACGUUAGUAACUGAACGUACCUUGACGGUACCUUACCAGAAAGCCACGGCUAACUACGUGCCAGCAGCCGCGGUAAUACGUAGGUGGCAAGCGUUAUCCGGAAUUAUUGGGCGUAAAGCGCGCGUAGGCGGUCUCUUAAGUCUGAUGUGAAAGCCCCCGGCUCAACCGGGGAGGGUCAUUGGAAACUGGGAGACUUGAGUGCAGAAGAGGAGAGUGGAAUUCCAUGUGUAGCGGUGAAAUGCGCAGAGAU